rnacentral:lncRNA from 15 species
GUGGUGUCCCAUCAGCACGCUGGAUAGUGAAAUUUUGACCUGGACUUUGACAGAUGGACUGGUGCUAGCUGCACUGCUUGCUGCCUACUGCCCUUACCUGGUCAGUGUGUGUGUGCCUGUGUCUCUGCAUNUGUCUUGUUCUAUUUUGUGUGGACCCACUUCNGUGUGUGUGAGUUCAAUGGAGGGAGUUGGGUUGGUUUAACGGUUGUUCGUUAGGUUNNNNNNNNNNNNNNNNNNNNUUUCUCUGUGUGUGUGUGUAUGUGUGUGAGAGAGAGAGAGAGAGAGAGAGAGAGAGAGAGAGAGAGAGAGAGAGAGAAAGAGAGAGAGAGAGGGAGGGAGAGGGAGAGAGAAAGAGGGGGGAAUAUGUGCAACUUUAAAAAUUUGAUUUACAGAGCACGUAUUGCUCCUGAGCAAUGAGUAACAGACAGCGAGUGGCAGAGAAAGUAGACAGGUGAUCCAAAUGAAACAUGUGGAGUUACAGAUAGACCUUGUCAUAGUUUUUAAAAUCACAAUCACCUGCUGUGUUCAUAAUUAGAUCUGCAGCCACUUCGGGAGGAUGUACACAACAACAAACAGCCUGGAGCAGAUCCUUCACAACAACAUCAUAGUGUCCCAGGCUUUAACUGCACUUUGUCUCAACCUAGAUGUACAGCCAACAGACUUGUCAGACCCUAAUCCAGUGCAGAUGUUAAUGCUGUGUGUUCACCUGUAUGAGAGGCUGCCUCAGUACCUGCCACUGCACACCAUCACUCUCUCAGGAGGCCUGCACAGCACUUUCAGAAAACAGGUAACACACACACACACACACACACACACACACACACACACACACACACACAACAUCGACUUUGGUCUUAAAAGACACUUAAAUAAAAAUUGAACUGCAUGCCUGGUAAAUCAAAUUUACGAGCAUUGCGAGACUGGAAAUGGCUUGGAUAAUAACCUCCUGGACAGAUAAUAACACACGCGCAGACACAUACAAACACUGCAACUGGGAUCACACACAGUCACACCUUAACAAGAUUAUAGACACACACAUACAUUAAUAGGAUUAUAAACACACCCACACACACACACACUAACAGGAUUACAAACGCA